rnacentral:ncRNA from 1 species
UUUCUUUCUAAAAUUUGUUUCUACAAAAGGACAUUAGUAGGCAGGAGACAACAUGACGAACUGAAACUUCUUAGAUGCCGGAGGAAAAUUAAGCAAAAGCGAUUCCCAUAGUAGCGGUGAGCGAAAUGGGAACAACCUAAACCGUGAAAACGAGGUUGUGGGAAAGAAAUCCAAGCAUUGUGCUGCUAGGCGAAGAGAUUCAGUGCCGCACCCUAGAUGGCUAAAGUCCAGUAGGCAAAAGCAUCAGUAGAAAUCACCAUAGGGCGACACAAACGGAA